rnacentral:ncRNA from 5 species
GCCGCUAUGGUGAAAUUG